GUUAUAUACAGAUUUUAUCAAACAAUAUAAAGGCGACUAUUUGCACUAGUGGAUUAAUGACUUACAAUAAGUACUAUUGCAACUAAUGUAAUAAAAAUAUAAUUUUGUUCCUAAAAUCAUAAUUUCGUAAUCCAAUAUUGAAUAGCCGCCUUUUCGCAAUUAAUUUUAAAUAGCUUACGUUCAAUAAAAAUUCAUAUGUUCAUAAAUUAUACCGAAUAAAAGACAGUGUAUAUGUCGCAUAUAGAUCCCUUACGUGUGCCCAAGUAAACAUGUAUUCGACAUAAAACAUGGUAAAAAUAUGGAUCGUAGCAGAGAAGUGUAUCUUGAAAUGCAUCCAUUUAAUUAUCCAUCUAAUAAAAUACGAGUAUCUUGUACUAAAACAAUCUAAUGCUUAAGAUCAAUUAAUUUACUGUUUCAUCAAUACUCCAUGCGAUGCGCACAUACGGUGCUCGAGAAUAUGUGAUAUAAUUUACAGCUCCUAGCGAUGUCGUUAGUCUACAAGAAAGAACACUUUUAAGUCGUAUUCUUACAUCAAUUAUCAACAUUAUUUAGGUCUUACAAUCAAUAAGUAAAUAAAUAACGAUUAAUUAGAUCUUGCUAAAAGUCUAUAUAUAGUCUUCAAUAAAAAAGUGACUACGAUGAAAAAAAAUGUUAUUCCUUGUAAACUAGUAUUAUUUCAGACUAAGGAUCCAAGAAACACGCUCCUUACAAACCUGAAUUGCAGUUAACAGUAAAAAGUUUUUGAACCUAGAGUAAAACCACGGCUUUUCUACUACAAAAUUGGAACAGGAUCCGUUGCUUGUAUCGCUGUCUUAGAUCAAAUGCUCAAAUAUAUAUUACAUAUAUUCAUAUGACAUAAUAUUUGAGCACAAAUAUAUUGAAAAGACCUUUCAAAUGAUUUUGAUAAGUAUCUAUUGUUCUACUACUAUAGGAUACGUCAAAAUUUAAUUUGAGCAUCGAAAUGCAUCUAAUAUUACAUUAAAAAAUAGGUAAAAACCUAAUUCGUGUCACAUCAUUGUAAAAAGCAUUUAUGUUU